UUAAUAAUAAAAUCUGCUCAAUGAAAAUUAAAUAGCCGCAAUUUGUGCUAAGGUAGCAUAAUCAUUUGUCUUUUAAAUAAAGACUAGAACAAAAGAUUUAACAUUUUUAUCUAUUUAUUAAUUUUAUAUAAUCUAAAUUAUUUUAUAUGUAAAAAAACAUAUAUUAUAUAGAAAGACGAUAAGACCCUAUUGAACUUAACUUCAGUUAAACUGGGGCAGUUAUUUAAUUAUAAUUUUAAAUUAUAUUUUAAUAUAAAUAUCUAUUACUAAAAUAAAUAAUUCAGUUACCAUAGGGAUAACAGCGCAAUUAUUUUUAUAAGUUCUUAUAUAAAAAAUAGAUUACGACCUCGAUGUUGAAUUAAUAACCUAAUUUUUUAAAGCAAAGUUUAAUAUAGGAAGUCUGUUCGACUUUUAAAUAAUUACAUGAUUUGAGUUCAGACCGGUAUAAGCCAGGUCGGCUUCCAUCUUCUAAAACUAUUUCUUGUAGUACGAAAGGACCUAAGAAUUUAAUAUUUAUUAGUUAUAUUAGCAAAUAAAUGCAUUAGAAUUAGAAUCUAAUAAAAC
rnacentral:rRNA from 1 species